GACUUUGUGAUGUAGUUAAUAGUGCGCCCGUCUAGCAAACGGGAGUUUUAGGUUCGAAUCCUACUGAUGUCU
rnacentral:tRNA from 1 species